CCCCCCCCCCCCCCCGUCGAGGAGGUCCUCAGCUGAUGUCACCAUUACCCGACUGAAGUGAGCUAGGCCUGCGGCUCCUCUAGCAGAAUCAAAGUGACCCCCCCGUGUGGAUUGGCUGGCGUUGCAGAGGGCUCCUCCUCCAGACGAAACACAGGCUGCUUAACGAGCACAUUAAAGCAGCUGUAGGUAAGAUUGAGUUGUAACGAGAGAUCAAGAAUUUUUAGCUAAACAUCCAUAAGAAACUCUCCUCCCUCUCCAAGUUCCUCAACCAUUGAACAGCGUUGCAUUGAUCACUUACAUGGCAGGCACGAUUGCGCCCCCGAACCAAUUAGGGAAGAGAUGCCCUGAUUGGUCAGAAAUUAGCCAGGAGCGAUAAUCGAAAUGGUCUCACAAAGCAGAUGCACCCAACUCCAAACAGAUAUUCCUCCAGCGCAUUUCACUCACUAUUAGCUGAUGGAUGGCUAUGGUAUUCUGACCUAAAUUUCCAUCAAAGAAUAGCUCUUCAAUCUUCCCUACAGCACCUUUAACCUCUUAUUUGCUGAUAUGCCCAGUCACACUUAAGCGUGUGGGUCCGAUUUGCUGUUAUGGAGUAACACCUUUCAAAGCAACCAGCCCAUUGUUCUGGUCACUCCUGCUCAGUUGCUGUGUCGUAGGUCACUCCUCUCAGUUGCUGUGUCGUAGGUCACUCCUCUCAGUCGCUGUGUCGUAGGUCACUCCUCUCAGUCGCUGUGACGUAGGUCACUCCUCUCAGUCGCUGUAUCGUAGGUCACUCCUCUCAGUCGCUGUGUCGUAGGUCACUCCUCUCAGUCGCUGUGUCGUAGGUCACUCCUCUCAGUCGCUGUGUCGUAGGUCACUCCUCUCAGUCGCUGUGUCGUAGGUUACUCCUCUCAGUUGCUGUGUCGUAGGUCACUCCUCUCAGUCGCUGUGUCGUAGGUCACUCCUCUCAGUCGCUGUGUCGUAGGUCACUCCUCUCAGUCGCUGUGUCGUAGGUCACUCCUCUCAGUCGCUGUGUCGUAGGUCACUCCUCUCAGUCGCUGUGUCGUAGGUCACUCCUGCUCAGUUGCGUGUGGGCAGUGUUUCGAAUGGCUACGCUCUUUAAAUCCUGUGGUUUUACACGGUGGAGACACAGGGAUGUAGCGGGCCCUCAAACACCUGAGGUCAGCGGGGACAGGGAUGUAGCGGGCCCUUAAACACCUGAGGUCAGCGGGGACAGGGAUGUAGCGGGCCCUUAAACACCUGAGGUCGGCGGGGACAGGGAUGUAGCGGGCCCUCAAACACCUGAGGUCAGCGGGGACAGGGAUGUAACGGGCCCUUAAACACCUGAGGUCAGCGGGGACAGGGAUGUAACGGGCGGAAAUCUCAGCGGUAAUUUGUGAGUGCCAUUUGUUAUUUUUAACCAUUUGUAUUUUAUUUCCCUUGCAUAAUCCUUCUUAAUGCUAUUUGCUUGCUAUGUGGAAUGCUCAAACCUUUUAGCUGUCAACAGUUAAGCAUGUUAUAUACCUCAUCUACUAACUUUCUAAGUCUUUUAGAAAGUUGCAGUCUCAGCUCAGAAGUGAUGCAUGUGAUGGUUCACUUUAAGAGUUUAUGGAUGGAUCGGAUGUCACUUCCAAACGUGCAAUAUUCUAGGUUAGUGUGGGCGGAUGUGUGAUGUUGAGCGGUGUUUGAACUUGAUUUAUUUGUGUUUGUUUUGCCAAAGAAAGAUUGGAUGUCUUUGGAUCCACUUACCUUGGGACAGGAAUAACAGCGGUGCUUUCAAAGUGAUUACCGCAUUCUCGUCCGGACGGGUUAGCAUGUCGGAUCUCCAGCAUGCACAAGCUACGGGGUGCACAACAGGUGGCCUCGUAUACAUAGGAGGAUGAAAGAGGAUGUAGCAAAAUACUUAGUCAGAUAUAUUCAAACACUUCCAGGAAUGGCGGAGUGAGAGACUGAAAACUGUGUUGCACAACUCUUAAAAUAGGAGUGAAUACCACAAUGACGUCUGAUGUCAUUGUCCAGGAAACGAUGCACAUCCAGGGAUCGGUUCUGUUGGACAAUGUGUAAUCAUGCUUGAUGAAUAUUAUUUUCCAUUCAUGAUCACGAGAGAAGAAAAAUCCCCAAUGUGAUUUGUAUUAAUGUGUGGGCAAUAUGGUUUCUGGGUCAUGCUGUAAUAUGUUAUGAUGUUAUGUGUACAGAAAAUAAAUCAAAAGGUUGUGGAUGUUACAAAAGAAACAAAAGGACAAUGGAGAGAUACAGGGGUUUUCUUCCAAUAUGUAGUGGUAUAUCAGUACAUUCUGCUGAUUAUUUUUAAAACCCCGUCAAUUUUGGAGGAAAAGAUUUCUAAAAAGAGCUGGUCAGUUCUAUCAAUGAUCGGUUCAGCCGCCAGUUUGGCUCCUUUGUGGUAGCACCUGGACUGAAACUCUUCGGACUGGUCUGCGUGUGUGCCCACCGCCGUGGUCUUUUCACCUGGGUUUUCUAUUCCUGCACUGGGAGAGGCAGUCAGAGGCCCUCCUUGCGUAUACCUCACCUUCUGCCUUAGUUGGGAUUAUUAAGAUGAUUGUAAAUAAAGUUUGAAACGGCAGACUUCUCUAUCCUUCUUCAUCAUUUGGUCUUCAAAACAAAAGAUUACGAUGAAGUGUAUGUGAAAUAGUAUAUUAUAAAUGUUUUUCUUUAUUUUUGUACGUAUGUGCUGUGCACAACUGUAAUCUGUUUUCCUUAUAUAAAAAUAAAUAUGUUUUGUAAAAGGUGCUGUGUUUGUUUUCUACUGGCACUGCAUUUGUACUUAUUUUUGUGCAGAUAUAUUGGAUAGGAGUACAUUUGAAGAAUAAAAACGGAUAAGAUUGACCACUAGGGGUCGCACCCAGCCCAACCUUGUUCACAAACUCACGAUCACAGCGAUCGAGUCCAAAGGGUCCUCUGCAUCCUCUUCCCGUUCCUCACUGUCCUCGGUCUCACGCAUCUAUCACUCUCACUCUUUUAUUUACUUUCUUUAUUUUAUUGUAUUUAUUUAAUUGUACUUUCUACUCUUACUUGCACUGUCGAGAAUAGCCUAGAACACUGGAAUGUCACUGCCAGCAAAGACCGCUACUGCAUGUUUGUUGUUCAUUUGACAAAAUAAAAACCUUGAACUUGAA